UCUUCUAAAACCAGAUGCUUCGGAUCCUGAGAAGUUAAAGCUAUGGAUUCGAAACAAUAAUAUCAUAAUUUCUUGGAUUUUAAAUGCGGUGUCUAAGGAGAUUUCGGCUUCAAUCAUCUAUUUGGAGACAACAUCAGAAAUGUGGAAGGAAUUACGUGAACGUUUCCAACAGAGUAAUGGUCCACACAUUUUUCAAAUCAAAUGCAAUCUCAUGAAUCUUACCCAAGGUGGGGAAUCUUUUACACAAAACCCACGUUCUACUAAAGACUGAUAUCAGAUAAAAGGAUUUCUCCCAGAAAGUGUUGAAGAUGAUCUACCUUCUGUUUAUUCUUAGAUUGAUGAGAUUAAGCACCGCUACAAUUGGUUGUGGACAUGUGAAUUGCAUUAAGUUGCCACACCUAGUUUCUC